rnacentral:rRNA from 1 species
GUGGGGAAUAUUGGACAAUGGGCGAAAGCCUGAUCCAGCCAUGCCGCGUGUGUGAAGAAGGUCUUCGGAUUGUAAAGCACUUUAAGUUGGGAGGAAGGGCAGUAAGUUAAUACCUUGCUGUUUUGACGUUACCGACAGAAUAAGCACCGGCUAACUUCGUGCCAGCAGCCGCGGUAAUACGAAGGGUGCAAGCGUUAAUCGGAAUUACUGGGCGUAAAGCGCGCGUAGGUGGUUUUGUAAGUUGGAGGUGAAAUCCCCGGGCUCAACCUGGGAACUGCCUCCAAAACUGCAUGACUAGAGUACGGUAGAGGGCAGUGGAAUUUCCUGUGUAGCGGUGAAAUGCGUAGAUAUAGGAAGGAACACCAGUGGCGAAGGCGACUACCUGGACUGAUACUGACACUGAGGUGCGAAAGCGUGGGGAGCAAACAGGAUUAGAUACCCUAGUAGUCC